rnacentral:rRNA from 1 species
ACAUCGCCUCUUGAUCAAUUAUAAGAGGUCAAGCCUGCCCAGUGACAUUGUUCAACGGCCGCGGUAUCCUAACCGUGCGAAGGUAGCGUAAUCACUUGUCCUUUAAAUAAGGACUAGUAUGAACGGCUUCACGAAGGCUAUACUGUCUCCUUAAUCUAAUCAAUUAAACUAAUCUCCCCGUGAAGAAGCGGGGAUUCGUCUAUAAGACGAGAAGACCCUAUGGAGCUUUAAACAUCUAAGACACUUGAUUCUAUCUAAUAAACUUCAUGCAACCUAUCAUUUUGUCUUAAGUUUUAGGUUGGGGUGACCACGGAGAAAAAUUAAACCUCCACGUAGAAAGAAAAUUCUUUUCUAAGCAAAAAGCCACAUCUUAACGCAUCAAUAAAUUGACUUAAAUUGACCCAAUUUCUUGCUCAACGAACCAAGUUACCCUAGGGAUAACAGCGCAAUCCGCUUUAAGAGCUCCUAUCGACAAGCGGGCUUACGACCUCGAUGUUGGAUCA